GACGAACGCUGGCGGCGUGCUUAACACAUGCAAGUCGAACGCUGAAGCUCAGCUUUUGUUGGGUGGAUGAGUGGCGAACGGGUGAGUAACACGUGAGUAACCUGCCUCCUUCUUUGGGAUAACGCCCGGAAACGGGUGCUAAUACUGGAUAUUCACUGGUCUUCGCAUGGGGGUUGGUGGAAAGGGUUUUUCUGGUGGGGGAUGGGCUCGCGGCCUAUCAGCUUGUUGGUGGGGUGAUGGCCUACCAAGGCUUUGACGGGUAGCCGGCCUGGGAGGGUGACCGGUCACAUUGGGACUGAGAUACGGCCCAGACUCCUACGGGAGGCAGCAGUGGGGAAUAUUGCACAAUGGGCGCAAGCCUGAUGCAGCGACGCCGCGUGAGGGAUGGAGGCCUUCGAGUUGUGAACCUCUUUCGCUCAUGGUCAAGCCGCAACAAUGGUUGUGGUGAGGGUAGUGGGUAAAGAAGCGCCGGCUAACUACGUG
rnacentral:rRNA from 1 species